AUUCCUAAUUCUUCUGCGCAGGAGCUGCAAAACCUCCACCAGCCGAUACAGCUGGGAGGAGCUCCAUGCUAAAUGGUGAUGGAAGCAGCCAGUCAGCUGUGGCUGGACCUUCUGGAUCCUCCAGCUCCUCUAAGAGCUCCAAGUCCUCAACAAGCUCUGCCACCAAAAGAUCCAUCCAGGACUUGGAGGAGAAGUCUGAAGCUUUUAAAUCUCUGUUCACCACCCACAGCUCUGCCAAACGCUCUAAAGACCAAAUGUCCAACUGGGUCACCCACACUCCUUAUCACUUCUAACAAGCAAGUGCUCAAUGCAGAAAUACACCUGUUUGACUUGUUAAAGAAACCCUUAGCUGGGUGGUUUAUAAUUUCUUUUACAUUUGUGAAUUUCUUUACCCAGCUGAUCUUUAAUGCCAUCCCUGUUAGCUGGUUUCCAGCUUUCCUCUUCAGUCCCCAGUUUCUUUGUGUUUACAUGUUACAAACAUUUCCUACAAGCUCCCUCAGAGGAUCAGGCUGUUUUGUUUUUUUCCCUCCCUCCGCUCACUUGUGUGUCUCCAGCCACAGGCAGCUUAGGAACUGAUGCUGGGAUGAUGGUUAGAGAGCUAAAGAGAGCUAAAGGUGUUGAAGCAGUAGUGGGAGAAAGAAGCAGCAAAGCUGAUUUCACUCUUCAGAAAACAAGAAAUAUUUACUGUUUAUGAAGAAGCAAAUUAUACAUUUUCACCAACAUUUCUUUAAAAAUAUUUUUACCAUAAGAUAGGAAACAUUGUUCAUAAUUUAUCACCAAAUUUGUUAUUUAAAAAAUCUGUUUGACGGCACAAAGACAGAUUAAAACAUCUAGAUGUGUGAUGUGUUCUGGCAAUUCAAGUUUUUGUUUUCUUUCCUCUAAAUAAAAGGAAUUUAUGUUGA